rnacentral:rRNA from 1 species
CCUACGGGAGGCAGCAGUGGGGAAUCUUGCACAAUGGGGGAAACCCUGAUGCAGCGAUGCCGCGUGAGUGAAGAAGGCCUUUGGGUUGUAAAACUCUUUCGUCGGGGAAGAAAAUGACUGUACCCGAAUAAGAAGGUCCGGCUAACUUCGUGCCAGCAGCCGCGGUAAUACGAAGGGACCUAGCGUAGUUCGGAAUUACUGGGCUUAAAGAGCUCGUAGGUGGUUAAAAAAGUUGAUGGUGAAAUCCCAAGGCUCAACCUUGGAACUGCCAUCAAAACUUUUUAGCUAGAGUGUGAUAGAGGUAAGUGGAAUUUCUAGUGUAGAGGUGAAAUUCGUAGAUAUUAGAAAGAACACCAAAUGCGAAGGCAACUUACUGGGUCACUACUGACACUGAGGAGCGAAAGCAUGGGUAGCGAAGAGGAUUAGAUACCCUCGUAGUCCAUGCCGUAAACGAUGUGUGCUAGACGUUGGAAAUAUAUUUUUCAGUGUCGCAGCGAAAGCAUUAAGCACACCGCCUGGGGAGUACGACCGCAAGGUUAAAACUCAAAGGAAUUGACGG